GAUGAAGAACGGAGCGAAAUGCGAUAAGUAGUGUGAAUUGCAGAAUUCAGUGAAUCAUCGAAUCUUUGAACGCACAUUGCGCCCCUUGGUAUUCCAUGGGGCAUGCCUGUUCGAGCGUCAUUUGUACCCUCAAGCUUUGCUUGGUGUUGGGUGUUUGUCCCGCGUUGCGCGUGGACUCGCCUUAAAGCGAUUGGCAGCCGGCAUAUUGGCCUUGGAGCGCAGCACAUUUUGCGCUUCUAGUCAUGAAUGUUGGCGUCCAUUAAGCCUAUACAUUUGCUCUUGACCUCGGAUCAGGAAGGGAUACCCGCUGAACUUAAGCAUAUCAAUAAGCGGAGGA
rnacentral:misc_RNA from 1 species